UCUCUAGCAUCGAGCAGAAGACCGACACCUCCGACAAGAAGUUGCAGCUGAUUAAGGACUAUCGGGAGAAAGUGGAGUCCGAGCUGAGAUCCAUCUGCACCACGGUGCUGGCGAUCCGGACAAAAUCAUGGCUGAUGGAAAUAACUGGUAAAGAGGCAAAGAAAGUAAUGCAGACAGUGUGUACUAAAGUGGAGAAAACUUAAGAUUAUUUACUUUAUGAAGUCAAAACUUCGUUGUAUUCUUCCGUGUGCUCUUAGCUUCCAGUCCCUGCUUGGCAUUGAAGAAGCACUUGUAAAAGCUUUUUGGACUGAAUUGCUCGUAUUAAAAAAUUUUGCCAACUUGAAA
rnacentral:lncRNA from 1 species